CCUACGGGUGGCAGCAGUGGGGGAUAUUGCACAAUGGGGGAAACCCUGAUGCAGCGACGCCGCGUGUGGGAAGACGGUCCUCUGGAUUGUAAACCACUGUCCCCAGGGACGAAGAUGACGGUACCUGGGGAGGAAGCUCCGGCUAACUACGUGCCAGCAGCCGCGGUAAUACGUAGGGAGCGAGCGUUGUCCGGAAUUACUGGGGGAAAAGGGAGCGUAGGCGGGACUGCAAGUUGGGUGUCAAAUCUACCGGCUCAACCGGUAGCCGCACUCAAAACUGCAGUUCUUGAGUGAAGUAGAGGCAGGCGGAAUUCCUAGUGUAGCGGUGAAAUGCGUAGAUAUUAGGAGGAACACCAGUGGCGAAGGCGGCCUGCUGGGCGUUUACUGACGCUGAGGCGCGAAAGUGUGGGGAGCAAACAGGAUUAGAUACCCGGGUAGUC
rnacentral:rRNA from 1 species